UACAGAGGGUGCGAGCGUUGUUCGGAAUUACUGGGCGUAAAGCGCGCGCAGGCGGCCUUUUAAGUCUACCCGUGAAAUGCCGGAGCUCAACUCCGUGCACGCCGGGGGAUACUGGGAGGCUUGAGUACGGAAGAGGCGAGUGGAAUUCCUGGUGUAGCGGUGAAAUGCGCAGAUAUCAGGAGGAACACCAAUUGCGAAGGCAGCUCGCUGGGACGUUACUGACGCUGAGACGCGAAAGCGUGGGGAGCAAACAGG
rnacentral:rRNA from 1 species